rnacentral:misc_RNA from 1 species
CUUCGCCCAAAAAAAUGCUUUCACAUCGCAAAUAUAACAUUCCUUCUUCAUUUUGAUCUCUUUUUUCUUCUUCUUUCCCUGCAAACGUAACCAUGUUGAUGUCCCCAAAAUACAUAGAACGAAGGUAUAUGAAAAAUGAAUAGAUAAAUUUUUGUAUAUCAACAAAGAAGAUGAAGGGGUUAUUCAAAUCAAAACCAAGGACACCGGUGGAGGUGGUCCAUCAAACACGAGAACUUCUCAUCUAUGCCGAUAAGAAUACGGAAACUCGUGAACGCAAACGCGAGGAAAAGAUGUCAGAGCUGAGUAAAUUAAUCUUAGAGAUGAGGACAGUUCUAUUUGGAAAUGGUCAAAAUGAGCCAAAUUCUGAUGCUUGUGCACAACUAACACAGGAGUUCUUCAAAGAGAACACAUUUCACCUUCUCAUUAUUUGUCUCCCAAAACUUGAUUUAGGGACGCGUCAAAACGCCACUCAUGUGAUAGCAAAUUUGCAAAGACAACGUGUUAAUGGCCGAAUGACUGCUUCUGAGUUCAUGGAAAAUAAUUUGGAUUUCAUGGAUAUUUUGUUGCCUGGUUAUCUAGACGGUGACAUUGCUCUAACCUAUGGUGCAAUUUCAAGGGAGUGCAUACGCCAUCAAUCUGUGGCUAGAUAUGUCUUGGAAUCAGAGCACAUGAAGAAAUUUUUUAAUUAUAUACAGAUUCCUAAUUUUGACAUAGCAUCUGAUGCUCAAGCAACUUUUAAAGAGCUUUUAACUAGGCACAAAUCUACUGUAGCUGAAUUUCUUUCUAAAAACUAUGACUGGUUUUUUCAAGAAUACAAUUCUCAGUUGUUGGAAUCUACCAAUUAUAUAACCAGAAGACAUGCUGUCAAGUUGCUGGGAGAUAUGUUGCUUGAACGCUCAAAUUCUGCUGUGAUGAUACGCUAUGUGAGCUCACUGGAUAACAUGAGAAUCUUGAUGAACCUUUUCAGGGACUCAAAGAAGACCAUACAACUGGAAACCUUUCAUGUUUUCAAGGUCGAAUAAAAGAUGCUUUUUUUGAGCUCCUAUUUGUUUGUAUAUUAUUCAAAUUUAACUUUUCUUUUUUGAUAUUGAUAGUUAUUUAUUGCAAAUCAAAGUAAGCCUCCUGAAAUCAUUAGUGUACUUGUUACAAAUAAAAGCAAGCUUCUUCGAUUUUUAGGUGACUUCAACAUUGAUAAAGAUGAUGAACAAUUUGAAGCAGACAAAGCUGAAGUCAUAAGAGAAAUUGCCACUCUUGAAAUUAGAGAUCAUUCUUGCGCAGACUCAGAGGAUUCUGAGAUUGAACCUUAAUUGCUUUGAUGUUUUGUUUACUAUACUCCUACACCAGUACAUAUUUAUAACAUUUAGCAUUUAGUUUCUGUUUACCGAUGUUGUUGUAUCCACAUGAAACUGUAAACUUAUCUAACUUUUACCAAAAUGAUGGUUUUGUGUAGAUAGAAAA